rnacentral:rRNA from 1 species
GUACAUGAUUUUAGAUGAAUUCAUUUUUUAUUCCUAAUAGGACAAUUACAUUUAAGUCCUCCUUCGUACGCUUUUUCAUAGCGGCCUCGGCUACAAUGUAACUCGCCUAAUCUUCUAGAUAGUCUGCACCUUGAUCUGUAAUGUUAGUUAUCUUACUAUAUGAUAAUAUAUAAUAUAUUAUCUGUGACGACGGCAUACAAAAUAUUACAAGAAGUAGAUUACCUUGGUGGUUAUCAUUUACUUGGUAAGUUCCCCUAAAAAUUAAAAUCACCGCCAUGCUAUUUGAGUUUUAACCAAUUAGGCUUUAGUACUCAGUGUGGUUAUAUGAGUAUUGUAUAAAAGGGUAUCUAAUCCUUGUUUAUGGCCAAUAUUUAUAUAAAUUUAACCUAAUGGAGGUUUUAAUUAUUAUUUCACCAAUAUGUAUGUAUUAUAGGUUAAUUACACUUUUGGUUGUUCAUUACUAUAGAAGUCUGACCGCGACUGCUGGCACUUUUUUAGUCAUAGUAUAUAUAAUUGGUUUAAUCUUACUUUCGUAAAUUUAUAAAUUCUCUUGCCUGGUAUACCCUUUAAGUACCAUGAGUAUCCUGUUUUAUAUGAACGUUCACUAU